AGUGAACGCUGGCGGUAGGCCUAACACAUGCAAGUCGAACGGCAGUACAGUAAUAGCUUGCUCUUACGGGUGGCGAGUGGCGGACGGGUGAGGAAUACAUCGGAAUCUACUUUUUCGUGGGGGAUAACGUAGGGAAACUUACGCUAAUACCGCAUACUACCUACGGGUGAAAGCAGGGGAUCUUCGUACCUUGCUCGAUUGAAUGCACUGAUGUCGGGUUUGCUAGUUGGCGGGGUAAAGGCCCACCAAGGCGACGAUCCGUAGCUGGUCUGAGAGGAUGAUCAGCCACACUGGAACUGAGACACGGUCCAGACUCCGACGCGAGGCAGCAGUGGGGAAUAUUGGAAAAUGGGCGCAAGCCUGAUCAAGCCAUACCGCGUGGGUGAAGAAGGCCUUCGGGUUGUAAAGCCCUUUUGUUGGGAAAGAAAAGCAGCAGGUUGAUACCCCGCUGUUCUGACGGUACCCAAAGAAUAAGCACCGGCUAACUUCGUG
rnacentral:rRNA from 1 species